CUGGAGAUGGAGCUGGGGCGGGAGAGGCGGAGGCACUAUCUGCCUCUGCCAUUUGGAGUGGGAACAAAUAAGCAGCAGUGAUCAGAUUUCCUCCAGUUUUCCUGGAUCUAAGCUUUUUGACUCAUGUGCUUCAACUGUAUCUUUGGCAAGUGCUUGAAAAUUCAAUAUCUGAAUUGAGAAAAACAGUAACAGAACUGGAGAAAAAGCUUAGCAGUGUUGAAGAUGAAGGUAAGUGAAUUGCAACAGAGUCUUACUAAUUGAAUAGGAAGCACAGCAAAUUAAUUGUUUUUGGUAGACCCUACAGUGAU
rnacentral:lncRNA from 1 species